rnacentral:rRNA from 1 species
UGCAUCGGAACGUGCCCGGUAGUGGGGGAUAACUCGGCGAAAGUCGAGCUAAUACCGCAUACGUACCGAGGUAGAAAGCGGGGGACCUGCAAGGGCCUCGCGCUAUCGGAGCGGCCGAUGUCGGAUUAGCUUGUUGGUGGGGUAAUGGCCUACCAAGGCGACGAUCCGUAACUGGUCUGAGAGGACGACCAGUCACACUGGGACUGAGACACGGCCCAG